UCCCCCUCUGGGGGGGGGGGGAAGUUGGGAAUCUUCCACAAUGGACGCAAGUCUGAUGGAGCAACGCCGCGUGAGUGAAGAAGGGUUUCGGCUCGUAAAGCUCUGUUGGUAGUGAAGAAAGAUAGAGGUAGUAACUGGCCUUUAUUUGACGGUAAUUACUUAGAAAGUCACGGCUAACUACGUGCCAGCAGCCGCGGUAAUACGUAGGUGGCAAGCGUUGUCCGGAUUUAUUGGGCGUAAAGCGAGUGCAGGCGGUUCAAUAAGUCUGAUGUGAAAGCCUUCGGCUCAACCGGAGAAUUGCAUCAGAAACUGUUGAACUUGAGUGCAGAAGAGGAGAGUGGAACUCCAUGUGUAGCGGUGGAAUGCGUAGAUAUAUGGAAGAACACCAGUGGCGAAGGCGGCUCUCUGGUCUGCAACUGACGCUGAGGCUCGAAAGCAUGGGUAGCGAACAGGAUUAGAUACCCUGGUAGUCCAUGCCGUAAACGAUGAGUGCUAAGUGUUGGGAGGUUUCCGCCUCUCAGUGCUGCAGCUAACGCAUUAAGCACUCCGCCUGGAGACGACCGA
rnacentral:rRNA from 1 species